rnacentral:lncRNA from 1 species
UAAAGAUCGUGCUCAGCAGUGUGCACUACCGUGUAAGACAGAGGGGAGAAAGAAGAUAGAGAAAGAAUAUAGAGAUAAAAGAGAGAGAAAGAGAGAAAAGAGAGGAAGAGAGGAGAGAAAAAAAUAGAAGAGAGAGAAAGUGGGAAGAGAGAGAAAGAGAGAAGAGAAGAAAGAGAGAAGAGAGAAAGAGGGAAGAGAGAGAAAGAGACGAUAGGAGAGAGAGACACCUUAAGCCCAAGGGUACCCACCAAAAAUCUUCUUUCUCCUCUCUUUCUCUCUCAAACGUGACCCAACAGUGAACAAAAGAUGGAAUUUUUAUUAAGC